UGCCAGAUAGUAAACUCUGCUCAUGCAGUCAGUUGUCUAGCCUUGCACCUUUGCUGAGAUUUUUCCAUUGAAAAGCUUUACCUUAACUAACCCUGUUUUUCUUGCCUAGCUCCGCUGACCCAGCUGCCCGGUUCCACCUGCUCUGUCCUGCCAUCUCCUGCACUUCAGAUCCAGCCCUGACCAGACCUCCCGUCUGCCUCCCUCACCUUGGACCUGCUGCUUGUUCCUGGAACCCCUGCUCGUCGUGGAGGGUCUCUGCCUGCCGUGUGCCCCCCUCAGCUCUGGAAAAUACCCCGCCUGUCGCCCACCCCCCGGAACGAGGCCCUCCUGCCCGCUCUCCGCCGCCGACCCACCCCACGGAGAACGCCAACCGGGCUGCCGGUUCCUGGUACAGUCACCCCCCCCAACCUCCCCUUUAGUUCAGUUAUUCCAGUCACCAGGUUCCCCACCCCGUCCAGCACUCCCCUUUGUUUUUGUUAAUAAAAUCCACCUUCGUUCUUGCCUCAGUCCCUCGUCUGUGUGCUCUCUGCUUGGGUUCACCCCCACGCCGUGACAUCCACAGGUUUUCAGUUGGAUUUAGAUCUGGUGAUUGAGCAGCCAAGGCAUGGUUCCAAUGUUCUGGUUCUCCAUCCAGGAUUUAACUGACUUUGUCUUGUUGGAAAAUCCAUUCAUUGGAGGCAGGAAAGAGUUUUCCAGCUGAUGGAAGAAGACUGUUUUCUAGAGUAGUCCUGUACAUGACCUGGUUCAUUCACCCUGUUCCACCCAGACUGAAACUACCCCAGAUGGUCACUGAUCCACCCCUAUGUUUUACUGUAGGGGCAGACAGUCUGGUUUGUAGCUUCUCCAGGCUUCCUCCUAACCAAUAAGUUGUCUGGAGUGGACAUCAACUGAAAACUGGAUUCAUCCCUGAAGAGAACCUUAGUCCAAUCAUCAACAGUCCAAUCCUUGUGAUCCCAGCAAAGAGUAACCAGCUUUCCUCUGCCUUUCCUGGAUGAUGAGCUUCUUCCUGCCCUGUACGACUUCAGACCGGAUUCAAGAAGUCACUUUCCAACUGUCCUUGCUGAACAAGUCCCAUUUCUCCACAGUGUCCACUCAUUUUUAAGGUCACUGGAGGUCUGAGGACGAUUCCUGACACAGGAACGGGUGAGUGACGGUCAUCUGGUGGGUAGAAAAACAUUUCCUGACCAGCUAGCAGUUUGGUAGAACCAUGUUGGACUUGUUUUUUCUUGGUGUAAUGAUAUAUAAAGGAUGGAUGGAUUCUUUAAAGUUGCUUUUUGCCUGUUUUGCCUUUAUUAUUGGAUUAUGGUUAUUGGAUUAUGGUUAAUAUCUAAGUAAAAAUCAAACCAUGGCCACUACAGUAAAGCCUCAGCUUUUGUACAUGGUGUGGAUUAUUUCAUCAGAGAAUGGAUGCUGUGUGUUGUGGAAAUCAAAAACCUCUUUUCUCAUCACAGUGAGGAGCAACCUGGUGUUUUCUCAGGUUCCAUUUUUUUACCCUUAAGGUGAGCCACUACAGAUGAAUAGGAUAACAUUUUUAGCUAUGAAACCUUCCCAGUUAUUACACAUUUUCAGAUAUUUAAUGCCUAAAUAUUCAAUGGAAGCAAUAGACAGAUAGAUACAGAUAGAUACAGAUGGAUAGAUAUACAGACAGACAGCUAGAUAGACAGAUAAUAUUGCCAUAAUUUGCACAGAUUUCUAGAACAUUGGAUAUUCUCUUGGAUAUCUCUUUAUAUCACUCUGUAAAUCAGAAAAUACUGUGAGCAGCCAGAUAAAAAGGGAAAAAAAAAAUCAAUUUUCCAAAUCAAUUUUCACCAUGGUUUUAGGAAUGAAAUGUUUUACAAAGCAGGCUGCUACUGAUAAAUAACACCUUCAGAAAAAACCUUCAGAAUAUGAAGAGGACUGGACACUUUAUUGUAUCUCAGUUGUACUAAACUAAUUCUUGGAUCUUUUUUGAAACCUACAAAUGCAAAAAAGAAUAUGUUUUGGAGGAGCAAAAACUCUGAAUAGCCCGCAGUGUCUCACCUUCAGUGAAAAGUCAUUACCUCGCAAUGAUAAUGACCAAAAUUUAAUGCAGCAGCAUCCAACUGUGAAACCUUGUGAGAUCAUCGUAAUUAACUUUUAGAAUGUUUUAAGUUAUGGAAAUAAACAAAGAAGGGAAUAUGUUAAAAUAUGCUCAUUAGCUCUAAGAUAAAGGAUAUGAAAAUGUGAGCAAAUGCUUCGCUGAGGAGCAUUUUGUGAAGGCUGGAGGGCUUAGUUUUGGUUCACUUUGUCCACCUUGUUUGCUGUGGAUUUGACGUGCUCACCUCCCCUCCUGCUGUGGUUUAAUCCUCCUCCAUGUUCAGGACUGUGAGUCAGCAGAGCUCUGCACUCGGCUGCAGACAGGAAGGACGUUCGACAAAGGAACAACAGACUUUUAGGUGACACACUUCCUACGAAAUACAACAGAAAUGCAACAGGACUCCACGUUCCCCAUCCUGCCCUCUGUCCAGCUCACAGGUUUGUCCGUUAUCCCGUCUGUGGCCUCCCAGUACCAUCUGUUGAUGAUGAUGGUGGUGUGAUGGUUUCCCAGAGACUAUGGGUUGAGGAGGAAUUGGAAGUUUGUCGGCUUAGACCUGGUGUCAUUCCAUCAGUGUUAAACUUCCCGGCUCAUCUUGGAAGAGUACGUGCCAGAAAGACCACGACCAAGCAGCCUUGAGAUCUUAGACAGCGUCUCCCUGAGGUCCCUCUCUAUCUCCCCACACAUCCACCAACCACUGGAACACAUCUCCAAAGUUCUGCUGGACCAGCUCAGCUUCCCCUCAGAAGAAGUGGUGCCACCUGCCAGAUGAAGGAGCCUUUUGAGAGGCAGCUGGCAUCGUGAUUGGACUGUACUUUGGUCUGUUCCAAUCCAGCUUCAGCUCCAGAGACGGCAGGCGGGACGAGUCAACGGAGGCUGGAUGGACAAAGGCAUGCAGCUGAGUACAAUCCAGAAAACAACAGAGGAGGAGUGCAGCGACCCAGAGCCAGAACAACCAGAGUAGCAUCGUAUGUCUUUUAGAAAACAUCUUAGUAGAGCCUUUGGUAUGAAAAAACGCCAUCAUAUACAUCGUAUAUUGUACAAAUAACAAGUCAAAGGAAAGAGACAUACAUUGUAGAAUUGUAGUAAUUGUGGGCUGACUGAUUUACUGAUUAUCAAUAUUUUAUUUUUUACUGAUUUAGGGUAAUAAAUACAUUUAAAAAUGG